UACGGAGGAGGCAAGCGUUAUCCGGAAUUAUUGGGCGUAAAGCGUGCGUAGGUGGCUAGCCAAGUCAGCUGUCAAAGGUUGGGGCUUAACCUCAUAACGGCAGUGGAAACUGUUGAGCUAGAGUGCAGUUGGGGUAGGGGGAAUUUCCAGUGUAGCGGUGAAAUGCGUAGAGAUUGGGAAGAACAUCGGUGGCGAAAGCACCCUGCAGAGCCUGCACUGACGCUGAGGGACGAAAGCUAGGGUAGAGAAAGGG
rnacentral:rRNA from 1 species